UGCCGAUAAACUCCAAUGGUGAUUAUUUCCUUUUCACAGUGCUCCAGCUGAGGCUGCAACAAAGGAGGACGAGAGAACAACUAGUGGACCAGGGCAUCAUGCCACUUUGAAGAGCCCAGCGGCAUUCCAUGAACAGAUAAAAAGCUUGGAACGAGCCAGACUGAAAACUUUUUGAAACACAAGAUUCGGAGUCGACCAGAUCGUUCUGAACUUGUCAGGAUGCACAUUUUAGAAGAACAUUUGCAGAGCCAUCCCUGCAGGCUACUCAGAUGAAGUUGAAAAGAGCUCGACUAGCAGAUGAUCUGAAUGAAAAGAUUGCUCAAAGACCUGGUCCUAUGGAGCUGGUAGAGAAAAACAUCCUUCCUGUGGACUCCAGUGUUAAAGAAGCAAUUAAGGCGUUGGGAAGGAGGACUAUCCCCACACUCAGGGCGAUUUCUCAUUUGAUGAAGACAGCAGUGACGCUUUGUCUCCGGACCAGCCUGCGAGUCAGG
rnacentral:lncRNA from 1 species